rnacentral:rRNA from 1 species
UACGUAGGGUGCGAGCGUUGUCCGGAAUUAUUGGGCGUAAAGGGCUCGUAGGCGGUUUGUCGCGUCGGGAGUGAAAACCUCGGGCUUAACUCGGGGCUUGCUUUCGAUACGGGCAGACUGGAGGUAUGCAGGGGAGAACGGAAUUCCUGGUGUAGCGGUGAAAUGACGCAGAUAUCAGGAGGAACACCGAUGGCGAAGGCAGCUCGCUGGGACGGUACUGACGCUGAGGCGCGAAAGCGUGGGGAGCAAACAGG